rnacentral:rRNA from 1 species
GACGAACGCGGCGGCGUGCCUAAUACAUGCAAGUAGAACGCUGAAGGAGGAGCUUGCUUCUCCGGAUGAGUUGCGAACGGGUGAGUAACGCGUAGGUAACCUGCCUGGUAGCGGGGGAUAACUAUUGGAAACGAUAGCUAAUACCGCAUAAUAGCAGUUGUUGCAUGACAUUUGCUUAAAAGGUGCAAUUGCAUCACUACCAGAUGGACCUGCGUUGUAUUAGCUAGUUGGUGGGGUAACGGCUCACCAAGGCGACGAUACAUAGCCGACCUGAGAGGGUGAUCGGCCACACUGGGACUGAGACACGGCCCAGACUCCUACGGGAGGCAGCAGUAGGGAAUCUUCGGCAAUGGACGGAAGUCUGACCGAGCAACGCCGCGUGAGUGAAGAAGGUUUUCGGAUCGUAAAGCUCUGUUGUAAGAGAAGAACGAGUGUGAGAGUGGAAAG